AACAUAGCUUUCUAUGGAUUUGUUUUAUUUUUAAAUGGAGAACCGUAUUCAUGUUUUUUGAAUUUAACAGAUAAGCUUUAAGUAAUUGCCUAGCUGUUCAAGGCUAUACAGCGUUGCCCCUCGCUCUUUUUGAAAAUUUCUCUCCCUCUGGCCUCUGUUGAUAUAUAGACACGGUUGCUCUCUCAUUUUCUCAUUGAACACACACACAAACGCCCAUCCCUCUCUCUCUCAAUCUAUCUCUCACUUUGACACACACACAUUCACCCACCCAGCCACACCC
rnacentral:lncRNA from 1 species